rnacentral:lncRNA from 1 species
CCCUCUCUGGUGGUGGUUUUCAGACAAGCCAAUGAGCCGCGAUUUCUGUAUCGGCAAAUUGGAGUAAUUUAUGUCCCAAACAGGCUGUAAAUGUUGCUUUGUUGGGUAGGAACAGUGAGGGGCCACUAGGAACUUGGAAGUAAUUUGGUUCUUACAUAGACAAAUUAGUAAAAUUCACACAUAAUAGAUGAGAAACAUAUGAAACUGUAAUUUAUGACAGAAGAGCUGUCUUAAAAAUAAGUAUUUUUCCCUGAUUUUAUAGAGUACCAUGUAUCCAUUGUACUAAAAAAAAAAAAAAAAAAAAAAAAAAAGCCCAGAUAAUAAAAAAGAACAUGCAGAUUACGGAUAAUUCAUGGUCAGUGCAUUCCAGAUUCUGGAAGAAUUCGUCAUAUACAUGUGGAUGGAAUCAUGCCACAUGUGCAUCUCAUACUUUGCGAAACAUUGGUAUAAUCUUUCAGUAUGCUUGGGAACACUCAGAACUCCAAGCAAAAUGAAUUGGGUAAUCUCUGGGAAGCCAAUUUGAUAUGAAAUGUGAUGGUAAUAUGAUAAUCCAAGGGAAAACUGAGCGAAGAAAAUAAGAGUGAUUGGCAAGAAGCAAACCAAAAGGAAGCCCCCAAAUAUCAGAAUGUAGACCAGGUAUGGUACUAGAUAGAGCUUUACAAGCUUUAUUUAAUUUAAUCCUCUCAACUGCCCUUCCAAACAGGUACUGUUGCUAGUCCCACUUUUCACAUGGUAAAACUAGCAAAUUAAAUAAUUUACCCAGCAUCAGGCAAUUAAAACAGUGUUAGGAGUUGGAUUUGUACCGCAAGCAGUACACUUCCAGAGCCUGAUUUGCCAAAUUUAUAUAUUAUUUUUACUGAAGUUAACAUAUACACAAGAAUCAAGGAGUUCAAGGUUUGUUUGAAAACAGCAGGCCCUAGCCCCCACCUGCUAUCCUAUUUCUCACAAUCUAGAGAGAACUAUUUUCAUUCCCCACCUGAACAGCGUAUUCCUAAGGUAUUUACCUCCACAUUGCUAGAUAAAACAUUUGAACUGUUACUUUGUGGGUUUUCCAUUUGGGGCAUUCUCUAGAAGAUAGGGAUUUAGCCCUCUGUCUCCCUUAUUCCCUCCCCUGUCAUGAGCUCUCAUCACCUGUCCAUUCUCUCUAAACAGCUUGCUGUGAUCUGAAUAAUUAUGCCUCUCCAGAAUUCAUACACUGAAACUUAAUACCCAAUGAGAUGAUGUUUGGAAGUGGGGCCUUAAGGAGUUGAUUAGGUCUUGAGGGUGGUGCCCUCAUGACUGGGAUUAGUGCCCUUAAAAAAGAAACCCCAGAGGGAAUUCUUCAUGGCUCGGUGGAAACGAGUCUGUCUAACAUCCAUGAGGAUACAGCUUUUUUUUUCCUUUUUUCUUUUUUCUUUUUAAAAAUUUUUCUAUUUUAUUUUUUAUUUCCCAAUACAUUAUUAUUUUUUCUACUGUACAGCAUGGUGACCCAGUUACACAUACAUGUAUACAUUCUUUUUUCUCACAUUAACAUGCUCCAUCAUAAGUGACUAGACAUAGUACCCAGUGCUACACAGCAAGAUCUCAUUGCUAAUCCAUUCCAAAGGCAAUAGACUGCAUCCGUUAAUGCAGCUUUAAUCCCUGGCUUCGCCCAAUCCCUGGCCUCCCUCAGUGGGUUAAGGAUCUGACAUUGCCAUGAGCUGUGGUGUAGGUAGCAGAUGCAGCUCAGAUCCCACGUUGCUGCAGCUGUGGUGUAGGCCAGCAGCUACAGCUCCAAUUCAGCUCCUAGCCUAGAAACCUCCAUAUGCUGUGGGUGUAGCCCUAAAAAACAAAACAAAAACAAAACAAACAAAAAGAGACUCAGAGAGGUCCUUUGCUCCUUCUGCCAUGUGAGGUUACAGCAAGAAGGCAUUGUUUAUGAACCAAGAAGUGGGCUUUUGCCAGCCACCAAAUCUUCCAGUGCCUUCAUCUUGGACUUCCCAUUCUCCAGAACUGUGAAAAACAAAUUUCUGUUAUUUACAAGACAUCUAGUCCAUGGUAUUUUUUUUAUCGCAGCCUAAACAGACUAAGACAAUCAUAUUGUAAUUUUCAUUAUAUCUGAUAGUCAGUGUUCACAUUAUAUAAAUGGGCAAAUGCUAUUCAUAGCUAAUACCUGUAGACCAUCAUGACUAUUUUCCUUUCCUACACAACCUCCUAUUUUCUCUAGAAUUAUUGUCAUAAUUAUUUUAUUGUUGUUUACUUAGUUUUCUUUGUACUUAUUACAAAUUCAAACUUUCCCUCAAUUGUAUAAUCUCCUCUCAAUAUUUUCAAAUGCACUGGGGACUCAAAUCAUUUCAUCUUUUGGAGGAAAUCAGACUUGCUCCAAUCGGGGUCAGGCCUUAUAUCAUUAUCUCUGGUUGGGAAACUGAGGCCACUUCAUCCUUAUUCUAGGGAUUUUCUUCAUCUUUUUCUAGUCUUAGAUCCUGUUUCCUGGUUCCUAUGUCUGUCUCUUUCUUGGUUUUUUCUCUUGUUUUAGUGAAGGACACAACUCAGGAGCUUCCUAAGAAAGGGUAAAAAGGAAAUAAAAUUUUUGAGACUUUGCACAUCUGAAAAUAUCUUCAUUCAACACUUAAUGCUUUUUCAGGGCAUAUAAAUCUACUUUCCUCUGAAUUUUCAAAACACUUUCCCAUUAUCUUCUAGAUUCAGGUGUUGCUAUUUAGAAGACAUUCUAAUUCUUGAUUUGUUAUAUAAAAACUUUUUUUUGUGCUGUCCCUCUUGUGCUAUAUUUUUGGUUUCUUCUUCAAUACAAAUUUAUUGUGUUCCUUCUGUGUGCCAGGUACUAUUAUAGGUGCUGGAUUAUGUCUGUGAGAGUGUAUCAUGAUAUUCUCAGGUGGUCAUCUAUUUUUAGCCAUUGUUCUGGGCAACUAAUGGAUACUUCACUCUGAAAACUGGGAUAGUUUCAUUAAUUUUUUGGUUAGAAUUUCUCAUCCUUUGUUCUUUUCCUUUAGUAAUCCUGUUAUUAGAUGUUGGACCUCCUAUACUGCUUCUCUAAUUUUCACCUUUUCUCCUCUAUGAAUGCUAGUCUUUUUACUCUACUUCUUGGGCUAUUGCCUUAAUUUUAUCUUUUAGCCCUUGUAUUGAAUUUUUCAUUUCUAAUAUCAUUUUUGGGGGCCAUACCUGUGGCACCUGUAAGUUCUCAGGCCAGGGAUCGAACCCAAGACAUAGCAGUGACAAUGCUGAUCCUUAACCUCUAGACCACCAGGGAACUCCAGAAAUAGAGUAUAUUUUUAAACACCAAGAGACCCCAACUUUUUGGGGAAAAUGGUCUAUGAGAUGACAGCUGAUGUGUAAAGGAAAGCAUGCUAGAAUCAAGUCCUUGCCUCUCUUCCCUGCACCCUGCAUAGAGCCGCCCUGAUCCAGAAAAGCCUUUAUUCUCCAAUCCUCACAAAGGGAAGUCCCAUCCCAUUGCCUUUAACAGGUGCUAUGCAGCAGGAUUCAGACAAAUGGCUCACACUUGCUUGGGGGGGAAUACUUGUCUAAAGGUUUUCAGACCUUAAACUCUGUGUGCUCAACUUCGCCAAAUGCCAUAUGUCUGCUUGUCUUAUCUAAAAAAAACCCUAGUCCUCUACUAAUUGUUAGAAGAUGGAAAAUAGAGGAUGAGUUAUUUAUCUGUUCGGACUCUAAGCAAGUUCUCUGCAGGGCUGUCUUUGGCUUAGAUAACUAUUUUUUAAAAAAUCCCACAGUAGGGAGUUUAAUUUGGUUUGUGGAAUUUGAGAUCAAAAGGUCAGGGGUACCUCUGUGCAGCAGCCUACCCAUGGGAUUCUGUAAUGUUUUAAUAGAAUAGAGAGCAUUAUAUAUACACGUUAGCAGUUUUGAUAAUCUUCACAGUACCAGUGGCCCCAAAUGGCCAGCGACUCCUGUACAUUAAGAUUAUUGACACUAUCAUUCCUCAAUUACUCUAAAGCUCUAAAUUUAUAAGGUUUAUCAUGUUUGGAAUUAUGAAUUCAAUGUCCAUUUCAUCCCUAGGUUCACUGCAGGCUUUGUCUGCCCAACUUUAAAUGGUGUCCUGGGAAGUGUAUGAUGCAAUACCCAGCUCCUUCCAUUUUAUAUCCUAACCCCUUCCCCAGACCAGAAUCUUUUUUUUUUUUUUUUUUAUGACGCUAAGGGGAUUAUGACUAUCUUUUCUCUGUUGCAUUACCAAUACUUAGCGGAUGAACAAAAAAUAAAUUCAUAGCUUGGGUGUAUUUUCUUAUUUUUUUCUCACUUAAUCUGUGUAUUCCCAAAUCUGGCUGUACUUCAGGAUCACCUUGGGAGCUUCUGUAAAAACAAGGAUUGGUCCCUAUCUCCAAGGCAUUCCAAACAGUUUACAUAACUCUUGCAAGUGGCUAUGAUAUGCCUCUAGGUUUAAGAAGAAAGGGUUUAACCUCACUUUCCUUGUCUGGGAAGCAACUAGACCUGCUGCCUCACUGGAUAUCAUUAAGAUCAAAUAUGAUAAACUACCAGGUAGUCUAGCAAAGAGAGGAUUAUAUGUGACUUUGUAAGGUAAGGCAAGAAUGGAGGUUGACCAGAAGUUCCUGCAUGGCGCAGUGGUUAAUGAAUCUGACUAGGAACCAUGAGGUUGCAGGUUCGAUGCCUGGCCUUGCUCAGUGGGUUAAGGAUCCGGCGUUGCCGUGAGCUGUGGUGCAGGUUGCAGACGUGGCUUGGAUCCCAUGUUGCUGUGGCUCUGGUGUAGGCCAGUGGCUACAGCUCCGAAUCGACCCCUAGCCUGGGAACCUCCAUAUGCUGCGGGAGCGGCCCUAGAAAAAACAAAAAGACCAAAAAAAAAAAAAAAAAAAAAA